AACUGCAAGAAGCAAUCACUUUAACUUUUUACACAAAACUUUCCAGACAAUAAAAAAGACAGAUGUCUCAACUUAUUUACAGGACAAGUAUGAUCUUGACACCAACAUCAAAGGCAAGACAAGAAAGACAAAAAUAAGUGCACUGGCCAGGCGUGGUGGCUUACACCUGUAAUCUUAGCACUUUGGGAGGCUGAAGUGGGAGGAUCACUUGAGGUCCGGAGUUU